UACCUUACAUGUAUAAUAUUGUUAUUGAUCUCAAGGGUCAACCACCAAUGUUUCCUGGAGGUUUUGCUGCUGGUCAGCCUCAACAACAACCUGCAGAUCCCUUUGGACCAAUUCCAGGAUCACAGGCGAGAUUUUAAAUCAAUCCUAUGACGUUCUGCAGUACUGUACAGCAGUGAGUGCAUGAUAAUAAUAUAAGAGGGGGAGGGUGAAAAAUAUUAAUGAAUAAUGCAGAAGUAUUACAUACCACCCCUACUGACUUCAGAACCAGUGUUGAUAUCCCACAAUCCUUUACAAGCUUAAUNCCAAUUAUAACAUUGGUCCAGCAAUAACAAUAGACAAUUAUAGUUGCUUGUUUGACAAGUAUGGUAAGAAUGAGAGUGUAUAUUUGUAGGAUUUAUGUGGAACGUCACAAGACUAUAAUAGUUUGAGAACUGACGGUUUUAUUUUUGUGUGAUAUUGCUAUCGUUAUUGCUGCAUCGAUAUUAUUUGUUUCAUCUAUAGNUAAAANCAAAAAACAAAAUUAUGUUUCACNUNAAAGGACCGUCGUCAACCAGCAUUCAAUGCGGUCCUGUUUUAGAUUUUCCAUAUAUGUAAAAUGAGGUGACAUCUAGUAUUCAUUCGCAAUCCGUUUCCAUCAGUCAGUUUUAAGGUCGCAAUUUUACAAUAUUUCCAUUCAUAGAGUAUAAAGGGAUAAUAAAGAGUACGUUUUUGCUUAUAUUACGAUGUGUUUUAUUUUGAAACAUAAUCAAAAGCUCAAAAUGGAUGCUGGUUGACAAUGGCGAUUAAGUGGUGUAAAGAUGAAAGAUCAUUCCCAGUACUAUUACAACGAACUUCCUUCUAGUGUCCAGACUCCCCUGUAGAAAUAUCAGCCACAGGCAUCCCAUCCACACAACAGCGAUCCCAUGAGCUGUUGUCAAGUCAGUUAAUGUUAUCUUACGCGGUGUAUGUAUGCUCUUUUAUAAUCCAUUAUCGUGAUAUCAUAGCUUAGCAACUUGUUGAUAGAGAAUUGUGGGAAAUGUUGUUCCCAGGCUCUUACCUCCUCGGCGAGGAUGGACGGAUGGAAUGGGGAGCGGCACUGUCAAACACCUUAAGUUGACAAUCUGUGUGCAAACCUUUUAUUACAGAGUUGAAAGCAUUCUCUGUAGAUUUAGGUACACAGGAAACCCAAAUAUUGUCCCCACCGGGUAGGUUUAAAAUUGCUCGGAGCGCAUUCUCUGGUUGGGUCGUUCUCAAAGGCCCAGUGUGCACCAUUAUGCUUUGGGGCCCUCGAGCGGCCAUUUUUAGUUUACCGAAUGUAGUCUAUAAAUUGUACUGUGCGUUUCGAAUCUUUGAUCUUCUCACUUUUCUAAGCACGUGAAACGAUCUUACAAAACAAACUUACUUAGUUUUAUGGAUAUAUUUGGAUACUAGAAGUAUUAUGGUGUAAAUCAUAACAAUAACAGAGGCUCGCAAAGUAUAAUGGUGCAAACUGGGCCUUUCAAAGAACAAUGGCACUUAUUGUGUUUCGAACAAGCCUAUUGGAUUAUAUCUUCCGAGAGUUGAAAGGCCGCCACAUUGUCGGGUGAGCAAAGGGUUCGUUCGUCCCAGUCAUAUCCUCCCGAGGAGGCAGAAAGAAAUCCUCUGCUACCAUGUUUGGGCUUCUUGUGGUAUAAGAACCUAUAGUUUCGUCACAUUCAAAAAAAGUUAAAUAACGGAAUCCUAGAGCUAAUAGUAGACUGCUGAAGCCUUUAUGUCACCAACGUGGUUUGCAAUGCAUUUUGGGAUCAUUUUCGUGAGAAAACAAUAGAAAUCCGCCAUUUUCAGAGAGACAUAUCCCACAUGCAUGGCAAUGGCAUACGACGUAAAAGCUUCAGAGGUCUAUAGUCACCUGAUUGGUAAUGGUAAUUAAUUAUCCAUAUUUAGCACUCCGUUAAUUAAAUUCAUGAGUCUAAAUUAAACCAAUCUCGUAUCCCUAACCUUCCUUAUUCUUGGCGAGCGCUGAGAAUGUAUGNAGACGGCACUGCCCUGAAAGGGGCUCGGGCUACGAGAUUGAAAUUAAAAAGUAAGGCUUGNGUUAAACGUCCAACUGGCUAGCUUGUGUACAGAAUCGUUCCCACCCUUCCCUCCAUACGAGAGGGAUGGUAACGGAUGUAAACACGGUCGACCUAAAGUCGUACAAGUAAAAUUUUGAUCGACCCAAUGAUUUAGUUCUGCAGGCCAUGUCAAAUCUCAUGUUAGAUCCGUCAACGGAAAACUCAAUUUGCUAAUNUGAUAUGUGGUACGCNUAACGAAGUCAAUAUUUUAGUAUGUCAAUCUUUUAUUACUAAAAUAUGAUAAGUACACGCCUCUCAAAGCUGUACUAACCGUUAAGGGCCUUGUUUAAACAGACGAAGUUAUUGGGUCAAACGUCGUAUUUUUACANGAAUUCUAAAGAGUAGAAUACGGCUUAUGUAAGUACGACGUUUGGUCCAAGCCUAGAGUAGUUUUCAUAAACCCAUAAGAUUCACUUUAGUGUACCACACAUUAUUUUGCACGUUUUCGGGGUUGUUUCAAGAGUCAAUAAUCUAAGUUUGGUAGUGAAUUUAUGUAGUGAAAUAUAAAUCGGCGCCAUUUUCUAAAACAAAACAUGACGGAAUCUCCAUUGCCGAUGUAGCCAGGCGUUCCUAGCCGCUCCGAGAGAAUUUGANAACGCUUGGCUACACAGGCUACUGCUUAGAUAAAUUUUCAAGUAGUUGAUUCUAUCAGUUGAAAAAUGGCGUGUGUUAAAUAAGGCCUUUUAGGAGAAUUUAUUUUGCUAUAGUUUAGAAAGUUGUGACGUAAUGUGCAUGGCGGAUGUGACGUAAUGUGGACCACGCGAAAUUGAUUCAUUGGAAAGUGAGUGGUCGAAGUGAACUGGAUUCAACCAGACNAUUGAAUUUNCUUUCCUAAUGCAUUAAAUAGUGUUGGUAACAAGUCUGCUACUAAAAAUCAUGGGAUGGACUUUCGCACAAACNGGUCACGUGACUUGAUCACGUGGCCUGGUGUAAUAAUUGGUAGUGUAGAUUUUCAGUGCCCAGUCCCCUGUUCGAACCUAAAAUUCAAACGUAUGUUUGUAUUUUCGACGCUGGUUGUAGUGAAACAAUAUGGCUGCGGUUUUAGGUUUAAAGAGGUUAAUGUAUGUCGAAACUAUAAACGACCCACAAUCUAACCAACCAUACAAUGAAGAAAUUUGCUAGCAGUGCGGUUGUUCUGACAACAAAGAGCCAGUUUACAAUACGACAUUAGGAUAAGCUCACAAAAAAACAAUAGAUUCGUGGUUUAAACGAAUGAAGCAACCUUAUGAUUGGGCUUAUGUUUGUUGCUAUGCUUAUGUCGAUGCACUCCAUUUUCUUUGGGGAUUCUUUUGUUUUUUUCUGCUUCUGCUAAUGUCGUAGUAAUGUCGUUUCUACCUGUAGCAAUCGCGCUGAAAUAAUCCUUAUCGAAAGCGAUUUGAAGUACUCGACUNAAAACGACGAUUGCUCGAUCNUCGCACUGCAAAUAUUGGGAGUGAAAAGAGUNAUUUAGAAGGCAAAGUGUGAGGUAUUAACCGAGUCAGGAAAGAUUUGAUUCGUAUGUCAUUAGUUAAUUCCAUUUAGUUGUAUAUAAGCAUUGAAUAAACCUAAUGUAAAAUAUGAAAAUACUCAAUGAUUUUUUUAAUGGAAAAGUAGAAUAAACGCACCAUAAUAAUGA
rnacentral:lncRNA from 1 species